rnacentral:rRNA from 1 species
AACGAACGCUGGCGGCAGGCCUAACACAUGCAAGUCGAACGCCCCGCAAGGGGAGUGGCAGACGGGUGAGUAACGCGUGGGAACGUACCCUUCGGUUCGGAAUAACCCGGGGAAACUCGGGCUAAUGCCGGAUACGUCCGCAAGGAGAAAGAUUUAUCGCCGAAGGAUCGGCCCGCGUCGGAUUAGCUAGUUGGUGGGGUAAUGGCCCACCAAGGCGACGAUCCGUAGCUGGUCUGAGAGGAUGAUCAGCCACACUGGGACUGAGACACGGCCCAGACUCCUACGGGAGGCAGCAGUCGGGAAUUUUGGGCAAUGGGCGAAAGCCUGACCCAGCAACGCCGCGUGAAGGAUGAAAUCCCUCGGGAUGUAAACUUCGC